CGCGUAGGCGGGCCUUCAAGUCGGGUGUGAAAACCGGCAGCUUAACUGCCGGCCUGCAUUCGAUACUGUCGGUCUUGAGUACAGGAGGGGAAAGUGGAAUUCCAGGUGUAGCGGUGGAAUGCGUAGAUAUCUGGAAGAACACCAGUAGCGAAGGCGACUUUCUGGCCUGAUACUGACGCUAAAGCGCGAAGGCUAGGGGAGCAAACA
rnacentral:rRNA from 1 species